CAAAUGCUUGAAAUUUAUGGUUGUGGUUGUUUACAAUGUCAUCCGUUGCACUUUGCCAAAGUAAGUUGUAGGGCUCUUGGAAGUCUCACACAGUCAGUAGGAAUUUACCAGUUGUCCAAGAAAUCAAAACCAGUCUUCAAAACACUGCUGCUUAUUCUUACCUGGGAAAACAGGUUUUCUUCAAAAAUUGACUCGUCCUUAUCAUUCUCUUUAGUAGCUGAAUCUUUGCUGUCCGGGGCAGGUGUGAAAACUUCGUCAAAAGUACUAACAGAUGCAUGAGGGGUCUGGGACUUCUCCCACUCUGCCACCGUUGAAGAGACGCUAACAGGCUUUUCUUGUUUGGAGGCCAACUGUUUGUCUGUUUUGUGCUCUUCCUUAUCUUUUGAUGAAGACUCCU